ensembl:lncRNA
UGUAUCUCUCUCUGGUUCUGUGUCUGUAUGUAUGGGCGUGUGUGUGAGUGUGUUUUAGGUGCGUCAGGUGAAACUGGGCAAAGUCCAAGGAGGGGCAUGUUCUGGUGUCUCUGACCUACAACGGCAAGAGAGGGGAGCCUCAGGUGGGGGUCAUCCUCUGUGCCAACCUGGUCGCCGUGGAUGCCAACAUCUUCUCUGACCCCUGACCCCUUCGUCAAAAUGAGCUGUCUAAAGAAGCCAGACGGAUUAAGGACGCCGCCACUUGCAGGACAAGUCUGCGCCUAUGAGGGAGGACCUUGUGCGGCAGAAUGCUCUGGCUAUGGUCCGGAGCUGGCGGAGGUGCUAUGAGACUACAUCCUGCAGUUUGGAAAGUAUAAAGUUUUGCAGAGAUCCAGUCUCUCUUCUCAACUAGGGCCGGUGGAGUGGGUGUUGUGGCAGCCUCAUCAGAAGACGAGCAGCUGGUUGGCUUUGGCUCUCAGGCCAAGAUAUUGGAUAACAGAGUUGAUGGCUACGCAGACUUCGCCAUGGGGAGGAUACUUGAUGUCUUGGUCAAGAUUCACAGAGUGGUGUUCUUACCAGGGAAAAUUAGUGUUGUGUUCUGCAAGGGACCACUCGGAUUUCUCCUCCAAGAGCCGUCUGAAGAAGCCAGGCAGAUUAAGGACGACAUCACUCUGCAGAAGGAGUCUACUCCUAUGAUACAACUGCUCAACUGCAGGCAUCAUCAGUUGAUGCUCCAGCCUAACCAGGUGUGAAAAGUUUAGCAGUGCACCAGCAGAGAGCAGAUGGCCACUGAAUUGUUCCAGGCCCAGGGCAUGACCGGGGGGGCACGAUGGAACUACCAACGGCUGGUGGACCUCAAGCAGCCAGGCGUCAUACUCCCUGCUUUGCUUGAUCCAGGUUUAAUAGUGGAGUUGAACUCUGCCUCCAAGAGAGUGACUGGGCAAGACAAGUACCCUGCACUCCACCUCUCUGACACAGACACCGGAGAGGGGUUUGGACUGGAGUACCAAGAACCAGGAUGCCGUCCAGUCCCUCUGGAUUGGGGCAAACACAGAACACAAAAGAGAGAUGAACCUGCUGCUCUUAUGCCUCCGUCCCGUGUGCAGGCACCCGGUCCAGCCCAAGCCCCAGGAGUGACACCCCCCUCCAGCUGGACGCCACUCUCUGGCACACCAUCCCCUGGACCAGCACCAUCCUCCAGCUGGACACCGCUCUCUGGCACACCAUCCCCUGGACCAGCACCAUCCGUUGGCUAUCCGCUCUCUGCUGGUGCACUGCUAAAGCAGGAGAUGCCAACAGACGACCACCAGGAACCUCCUGCAGCAGUGGAACUCUCAUAUGCCCUACCCCAGCGGUCCUUGCUGAGGAGUGCCCACACUGGACCCAUUAAGUAAGGUGGACAGGUUUUUGUGUAAGACCACACACGCUGGACGCCACCCAUGAAAAAUGCUGUUGACGGCUUGAUGCAGAAAUACCAUGGGGAGAAGGACAUGCUGAAGCUUGUGGAUCAAGAUUAUGCAGACAUGGUCCAUCGGUCUGCCACCAAUCCCAACAGUUUACUGCACCCCACAACCAGGCUACACAUAUCCCGCUAUGUGAAGCACCUGGCAAAACUCCUUAACAUAAUUUCUUCUUUGAACACGAGCCA